UACGUAGGGUGCAAGCGUUAAUCGGAAUUACUGGGCGUAAAGCGUGCGCAGGCGGUUGUGCAAGACAGAUGUGAAAUCCCCGGGCUUAACCUGGGAAUGGCAUUUGUGACUGCACGGCUAGAGUGUGUCAGAGGGGGGUAGAAUUCCACGUGUAGCAGUGAAAUGCGUAGAUAUGUGGAGGAAUACCGAUGGCGAAGGCAGCCCCCUGGGAUAACAUUGACGCUCAUGCACGAAAGCGUGGGGAGCAAACAGG
rnacentral:rRNA from 1 species